GACGAACGCUGGCGGCGUGCUUAACACAUGCAAGUCGAACGGAAAGGCCCUGCUUUUGUGGGGUGCUCGAGUGGCGAACGGGUGAGUAACACGUGAGUAACCUGCCCUUGACUUUGGGAUAACUUCAGGAAACUGGGGCUAAUACCGGAUAGGAGCUCCUGCUGCAUGGUGGGGGUUGGAAAGUUUCGGCGGUUGGGGAUGGACUCGCGGCUUAUAAGCUUGUUGGUGGGGUAGUGGCUUACCAAGGAUUUGACGGGUAGGCGGCCUGAGAGGGUGGCCGGCCACAUGGGGUCUGAGAGACGGCCCAGACUCAUACGGGAGGCAGCAGGGGGUAAUAUUGCACAAGGGGCGGAAGCCUGAUGCAGCAACGCCGGGUGCGGGAUGACGGCCUGCGGGUUGUAAACCGCCUUCUCCUGUGACGAAGCGUGAGGGACGUUAAUGGGGAAAGAAGCACCGGCUAACUACGG
rnacentral:rRNA from 1 species